rnacentral:rRNA from 1 species
UACGAAGGGUGCAAGCGUUACUCGGAAUCACUGGGCGUAAAGCGUGCGUAGGCGGUUCGUUAAGUCUGCUGUGAAAGCCCUGGGCUCAACCUGGGAACUGCAGUGGAUACUACUCAGCUAGAGUAUGGGAGAGGGCAGUGGAAUUCCCGGUGUAGCGGUGAAAUGCGUAGAUAUCGGGAGGAACAUCAGUGGCGAAGGCGGCUGCCUGGCCCAAUACUGACACUCAGGUGCGACAGCGGUGGGGAGCAAACAGG